AUGGCAAUCUCUUCACUGCUGUUCCCUGGCACACUGAGUGCUCUCUGUUCCCAGACACAUGCCUUCCGUCCCCUGCUCUCUGUGUUCCCAGACACAUGCCUUCUCUCCCCUGCUCUCUGUGUUCCCAGACACAUGCCUUCUCUCCCCUGCUCUCUGUGUUCCCAGACACAUGCCUUCUCUCCCCUGCUCUCUGUGUUCCCAGACACAUGCCUUCUCUCCCCUGCUCUCUCUGUGUUCCCAGACACAUGCCUUCUCUCCCCUGCUCUCUGUGUUCCCAGACACAUGCCUUCUCUCCCCUGCUCUCUGUGUUCCCAGACACAUGCCUUCUCUCCCCUGCUCUCUGUGUUCCCAGACACAUGCCUUCUCUCCCCUGCUCUCUGUGUUCCCAGACACAUGCCUUCUCUCCCCUGCUCUCUGUGUUCCCAGACACAUGCCUUCUCUCCCCUGCUCUCUGUGUUCCCAGACACAUGCCUUCUCUCCCCUGCUCUCUGUGUUCCCAGACACAUGCCUUCUCUCCCCUGCUCUCUGUUCCCAGACACAUGCCUUCCGUCCCCUGCUCUCUGUGUUCCCAGACACAUGCCUUCUCUCCCCUGCUCUCUGUGUUCCCAGACACAUGCCUUCUCUCCCCUGCUCUCUGUGUUCCCAGACACAUGCCUUCUCUCCCCUGCUCUCUGUGUUCCCAGACACAUGCCUUCUCUCCCCUGCUCUCUGUGUUCCCAGACACAUGCCUUCUCUCCCCUGCUCUCUGUGUUCCCAGACACAUGCCUUCUCUCCCCUGCUCUCUCUGUGUUCCCAGACACAUGCCUUCUCUCCCCUGCUCUCUCUGUGUUCCCAGACACAUGCCUUCUUUCCCCUGCUCUCUCUGUGUUCCCAGACACAUGCCUUCUCUCCCCUGCUCUCUCUGUGUUCCCAGACACAUGCCUUCUCUCCCCUGCUCUCUCUGUGUUCCCAGACACAUGCCUUCUCUCCCCUGCUCUCUCUGUGUUCCCAGACACAUGCCUUCUCUCCCCUGCUCUCUGUGUUCCCAGACACAUGCCUUCUCUCCCCUGCUCUCUGUGUUCCCAGACACAUGCCUUCUCUCCCCUGCUCUCUGUGUUCCCAGACACAUGCCUUCCCUCCAUGUCUAAGUGA
rnacentral:lncRNA from 8 species